UUUUGUGUCAUGUGGGGGCAUUGACUAACAAAGUAAACCAGGUUUAGUGCCAUAGACAGUAAAAGAUUGGUGCCCUGUAUGAAGCAAUUCACCACUUGCUCGACGAUGAUGUCACUUUCUCUGAUUGGGUGUAGUAGAUUAGAUCAUUUAUAAUUGGUCCAUUUUUUGCCAUACGUCACAUCGUUCUCCAGAUUUCCUAAUCCUGCAAACCACCACAAGUGUCUGUCAUUCCCACGGUAAUUUCACAGGGGUUGCCAUGUGGUUUGUGAGAUGAGACCAAAUUCUCAGAAAAAUAUAUUUUGACUAGCUGCUACACCCGACGAAUUAUUUUCACAGAUUGUGCAGGUAAGAGUUCAGAUGUUCAAUGUAUCUUUGUCUUUAGAAAUGUUGGUAUUGUUGAAUAACAGAAUAUAACCAUCUUGCAUAUGUGAACGUUAGCUAUCGUUAGCCGUUUGGGUAAUCAUUAAUCGAACAGUUAAUGUUAUGCAAUGGUAAUUUAAAUAGGGGCCGCAUUGACCAUUAGCUAGUAUUUAUUCAUGUCGGGGUUAGCUAGCUCACUAAAUCUUAAGGUUGCUGUAUUUCAUCGGAUGGUUUAUGGUCUAAGGUUAAUAAUGUGCAUUUAUCAGGUUGAUGCCACUAACAUAACGACCAUGACUAAGUUAACUUCACCAAAGGAAAUUGACUUGGAAAUAUGUGCGUUCACACCAUCAGAAGGUGCAGUGCAACCAAGACCCCCCAGUACAAGCUGAAGGACACCUAAAUCACUCCAUAACAUAGAAUGACAAAAUGCCACCCCAAAUUGUCAGAUGGCACAUUUCAUGUUGUAAGAAAAGCCCAAGGACUCAGAACAUGAAGCCAAAGAAGUAGAUGAUGACUUGGCCCAGUGACACCAGAUGGAAAAGCCCAUUGCAGUAGUCAACCCUACUGGAGAUGAAUGCGUCAAUAAGUUAUCUAAAUCAUGUUUUGAAACGUCUAAUGGCCACCUUACACCAAACAAGUUUGACAAGAUU